rnacentral:misc_RNA from 1 species
AAGUCGUGAUAAGUCAAGUUCUGGUAAGCUAACCUAUAGAAGGAUUAUUACCUUUCUAGCUAUUUAAUAGCUUGUCUAGGGGCUGCAGUUUCUGUAGUCCCUAACUACAUCUGUGUUUUUUGCGUACUACAUGUUUCUUUAGCGGGCUUGCUUACUAGUUAGACAAACUAAAACUCUUUGCAAUUGCAAUUAGCGUCUAAAUUAUAUAAUAAUUACAA